CCUACGGGAGGCAGCAGUAGGGAAUAUUGCUCAAUGGGGGAAACCCUGAAGCAGCAACGCAGCGUGGAGGAUGAAGGCUUUCGGGUUGUAAACUUCUUUUGACAGGGAAGAGCAGAAGACGGUACCUGUCGAAUAAGCCACGGCUAACUACGUGCCAGCAGCCGCAGUAAUACGUAGGUGGCAAGCGUUGUCCGGAUUUACUGGGUGUAAAGGGCGUGUAACGGGGCUGAGAAGUCAGAUGUGAAAUCCGGGGGCUCAACCCCCGAACUGCAUUUGAAACUGUCGGUCUUGAGUAUCGGAGAGGCAGGCGGAAUUCCUAGUGUAGCGGUGAAAUGCGUAGAUAUUAGGAGGAACACCAGUGGCGAAGGCGGCCUGCUGGACGACAACUGACGGUGAGGCGCGAAAGCGUGGGUAGCAAACAGGAUUAGAUACCCGUGUAGUC
rnacentral:rRNA from 1 species